AUGUUUGCCGGAGAAGUGGGAGAUGGAGGUUCAAAAGUCUGUGAGGCUGAGAAAGGAGAAAAGCCCACAUUUCUGGCCAUGAUUGAAUCAAGAAUCCCAUUUAAUUCUACCAGAGAUCCACACAGGGAGUUACACAGGGCAGCAUUAGAAACCAGUAGGAGAUCCCAGGAGAGCAGGUAUGGCUGUUAUCUCCUGUCUCUCCCUGCUGUGAAGACUGUGCUGUUCAGCAGGGACACUUGGUGAUGUGCUGGGGAGGAGUGACAAAGGGAGCAGAGCGCUGUGUCCCUGCCUGGGGGCUGGGCUGUUCACCUGUGUCUCACUGACAGAAACCUGCUGCCUCCUGUUCCUUUUCCUGUAGCUAUUUUAAUAACAGCCAGUUCGUGAAAACAAUAUUCAGUUAUUUUAGACACUGGAAUUUAGGACUUUGGAGUCACUUCUAGGCUCCGUGUUUCUCUCUGUCUGAUCAGAUGUAUGUACAUAGUACAUAUGAGAACAUGGAAAAAACAGGGAGGCUUAUAAAUCUUCCCACAGUUAAACAGAGACUCCAUAGCAGAGCCAGCAAAAGAUUUGUCUGCCUUCCUAUCUUGGCCAUGAACCUCAAGGCUAAACUAAGAACACAAACAAAACAAUCUUGCGGGUUAAAGGAACUUCUGAUUUGUUUUCGCUUUUUCGUGAUGUGCAUAAGGAUGUCCUGAAAUAUUCUCCCCCUGAAAAGUUUUUGCCUGUCUUUUCUCUGUUUUGUUAGAAAUUCAGGAAGAUGUUUUGACUGCUGGACAGCCAGUGAACUGGUGACAUUGCAGAGGAGGGAAGACUAGCAAUGGGACAGGAAAUUUUGGUAUUACAAGUUUUGAUUUCUUUUCCAGUUGAAUUCCUGUUUCAUUUUAAAAUGUCUAACAGCAUUUGUGAGAAAAACAAUGUUUGUUAGGAUCACUAAUAAGUUUUUCCAAUACUAAGGGUGUGAGAAUCUGAGUUUCCUCCUAUUUUUUCCCAAUAAAAUAUAAGAAGGAAAUGAAUGACCUUUAAAA
rnacentral:lncRNA from 1 species